rnacentral:rRNA from 1 species
CACGUAGGGGGCGAGCGUUGUCCGGAUUUAUUGGGCGUAAAGAGCUCGUAGGUGGUUCCGUCAGUCGGGUGUGAAAACUCUGGGCUCAACCCAGAGACGCCACCCGAUACUGCGGUGACUAGAGUCCGGUAGGGGAGUGCGGAAUUCCUGGUGUAGCGGUGAAAUGCGCAGAUAUCAGGAGGAACACCAACGGCGAAGGCAGCACUCUGGGCCGGUACUGACACUGAGGAGCGAAAGCGUGGGGAGCGAACAGG